rnacentral:tRNA from 1 species
UAUAUUUUAGUGUAUUUUGCACAAGAAAUUUUGAUUUUCUUAGAUUUAGAGGUAUUUAAAAAAUAUAA